GAUGAAGAACGCAGCGAAAUGCGAUAAGUAAUGUGAAUUGCAGAAUUCCGUGAAUCAUCGAAUCUUUGAACGCACAUUGCGCCCCCUGGCAUUCCGGGGGGCAUGCCUGUCCGAGCGUCAUUUCUGCCCUCCAGCCCGGCUGGGUGUUGGGCGCUGUCCCCCCGGGGACACGCCCCAAAGGCAGUGGCGGCGCCGCGUCGGGUCCUCGAGCGUAUGGGGCUUUGUCACCCGCUCGGGACGGACUCGUCGGCGCUGGUCUUCCUCCAGGCGACCCUUCAGGGCUCGUCUUCCUUCGGUUGACCUCGGAUCAGGUAGGGUUACCCGCUGAACUUAAGCAUAUCAAUAAGCGGAGGA
rnacentral:misc_RNA from 1 species